GCCCGAUGCGGACGCUCAUCAGACCCCAUGAAAGGUGUUGGUUGCUAUAGACAGCAGGACGGUGGCCAUGGAAGUCGGAAUCCGCUAAGGAGUGUGUAACAACUCACCUGCCGAAGCAACUAGCCCUGAAAAUGGAUGGCGCUCCAGCGUCGAGCCCAUACCCGGCCGCCGGCGGCAAAAAUUCGCAGACGGCUGUCCCUCGCGGGCACUGUCGAUGCGGAAGAGAAGCCCCGGCGAGUAGGAGGGUCGCAGCGGCSAGGGUUGAAGGUGUCGGGCGUAGGCCCGCCUGGAGCCGCCGCUGGUGCAGAUCUUGGUGGUAGUAGCAAAUACUCGAGUGAGAACCUUGAGGACUGAAGUGGAGAAGGGUUCCAUGUGAACAGCAGUUGAACAUGGGUCAGUCGGCCCUAAGGAAUAGGGGAAACCCGUUCCGAAGCGUGGGGAGAGAUGAAAAAUGUAUGUACAUCAAAGAAACAAAAAUGCAUCAUAUGAAAUGAGCACACGCCUCGUUCAACGAGGUGGCGAACCGCGAAUGAGCCCGGGGACGAGUGCCGAGUCACUGCACUUUCGUAAUCGGCCAUUGUGCAUUCAUUGAUCAUUUGAAAAAUAAAUGAUGAAUACAUGAAAAUGAGAAAACCCCCGAAAGACCGAAAGGGAAUCGGGUUAAUAUUCCCGAACCCGGACACGGAGAUCGGCCCUUCGGGGCCCAUUGCGGUAACGCAAACGAACUCGGAGAAGUCGGCGGGAGUCCCGGGAAGAGUUGUCUUUUCUUUGUAAGGGACGGACUCCCUGGAAUCGGCUCGCCCGGAGAGAGGGAUGUUGUUCCCGUAAAGCCCCGCGGCUCUUGCGGUGUCCGGAGCACUCCCGCCGGCCCUUGAAAAUCCGAGGGAGAGAAAAUGAUUUCGUGCCGGACCGUACCCAUAUC
rnacentral:rRNA from 1 species